AAUAUAAAUCAGCUAAAUUAAGCUAGUAGGUUCAUACCCUAAAAAUAUAAUUAUAAAUUAUUUUAUAUAU
rnacentral:tRNA from 1 species